GCUGGGCGUGGUGGCGUGCCCCUGUAAUCCCAGCUACUUGGAAGGCUGAGGUGGGAGAAUUGCUUGAACCCAGGAGGUGGAGGCUGCAGUGAGCCAAGAUUGCACCACUACACUCCAGCCUGGGUGACAGAGCAAGACCCCAUCUCAA
rnacentral:sRNA from 1 species